CUACAACUAUUGUUUUAAAGCCUGCAGAAUUGUUCAAAUUAAAAAUGUAAACACAAAGACUGGAGUGUUUUAUAUAAUGAUGACGUCUGAUUGGCUUGUAAGUAGAGUUUUGACAUAAUGGGCCAAAUUUUGCUAAACGUGUGUAAGCAAAGGCAAAAACUGCAACACCACAUCACAUCUGCCAUUUUUAAGACAACAGCUACAUCAGUAGAUGUUGUAGCAGUGAGGAGGAGCCACGCUGACGUGGAGCCCACAGCUCCAGCUGACUGACUGUGUGUGUUUGCAUAUGUGUCCUGUUAAGAGACCAGUGUUGAUCAGUGUGUGUCCAGGUCUUUCAGCGGCAGCACCAUGAUGAUGUCUCUGACUCUACUGCUGGCCACCCUGGGGCUCCUUGUUCAGGGUUCAUCAGGUCAAAUCACUGUGACUCAGACUCCUGAAGCGUUGUCUGUUGCUGCUGAACAGACUGUUACAAUUAAGUGUAAAACCAGUUCAAGUGUUAGUAGCUACCUUCACUGGUACCUUCAGAAACCUGGAGAAGCUCCUCGACUUCUUGUUAGAUACUCUACAACCCGUCAGUCUGGAGUCUCUGAUCGUUUCAGUGGAAGUGGAUCUGGUACUGACUUCACUCUGACCAUCAGCAGAGUUCAGGGUGAAGAUGCAGGAGUUUAUUACUGUCAGCAGAGUUACAGUGGGUCACACAGUGAAACAACGUCGUACAAAAACCUCCUCAGCUGAAGAGGAACUGAUCUGAACUAACAGCUGCACAAAAACACAUUAAAAUUUGACU